UAGUCGUAGGAAUUCCUUGUCUAUAAAUAACAUUAUUUUUACUCCUGAGAUUAAUGUGCAGUCCUCCUCCAUUACAUAGAGGAUAAUAGAUGUACAGAUACUGGCCUCACCGAGUGAAGCUGGAGAAGAAAACAGUGUCUGUAGCAAUGUACUCUUUAGUCUAAUUACCAGACUUUUCAAAAUGUAAAACACUGUCUCAAUAAUCAGACUGAAGUCUAACCCAGCUACAAUGUUGACUCCCAAGCUGACUAUCAGUCAGAGGGUAAAAGAAUUUACCAAAAGAGAAGGAUCAACAGUCUCGGAAAAUUUAGAAUCCAGAGCUGUUGUAACUUCUUAAGGUAGUCAGUAUUGCAAGUUAGUUUCCAGGGAAUCUGGAGGCUGUUGCAUCAACUUUACAGAAACAUCCCCACCACAUUUAUCAAGAUUAGUAAGGAAUCUGUAUGUGUGGCGAUGUAUGUGCGUGUGUGAAUGAGAGAGAGGGUGUGUGUGUGUUGGGGUGUUGUUCACAUCAGAUGUCUUCCUUAUGUUUUGUGACAGGGGCUCUCAGCUAACCUUGAGCUCACCAAUAUAGUGGGGCUAGUCACCAGCAAGCCCCAGGGAUCUGCCCAUGUGCUGGGAUUACUGAUGCUUACCACUGAGACCCCGGCUUGUAUGUGGGUUCGGGGGUCCGAACUCAGGUCCUCAUGCUCAAGUGACAAACACAUUACUGACUGAGUCAUCUCAGUUCCUCGUGGUUAACACCAUCUCAGGACAGUCAUUCCUAAGGAAAGGUUAAGAUUGUUGCACAUGGUGGCACAGGCCUGUCUCAAAGUGACUGAACGUUUUCCUAUUAAAAAAGUUCCUGGAAUAUUUGACUACUCUUAUGGCCAGCUUUUUAAAAAUUCUUGCUGCUUGAACUUCAGGUUGUUGAGGUUGUUUUCCUUUAAUAGGCCUUUAGACAUUUAGAACUAUUAACAUAAGAUACAAGUGCUGGUUUUUGAAACAGGCCGUACCCCAAGCCUUCCUAAUGAAACUUUGCCUAAUAAGGAGAUGAUUGUGUUUUUCUUAAUGGCCCAAAUUAAGAAAAGAGAAAUAAAAAGUGGCUCAAGGAUUGUUAUUCUAAAGAACCCAACUGUGUUUGUUUCAGAAUCUGAACAAAAGUCAUCAAGUAAUGUUGAUCCCUUGGUUUCUGGCAUCAGCAUCGUAGAAACAAAUUUGCGUGACAGAUGUCAGACUAUUGAUUGCGUAAGGCCUUGAAACCCACAAAACUUGUAGGCUUAGGUCCUAGUACUUUCUUCUGUUUAUGUAAUUGCGGCCCAGCACGUCAUUGUAAAGUUAUUUAUCUCUUUUUGGCGAGCAGUUCCGCCCGCCAGCUCUGCAGAUGUGUUGUUUCUGCCCACGUCUGUGCGUGUCAUCCGGGGUCUCUAAAGAGCACUAUCUGCAGACAGUUCUGUCAAGUCUUACUUCAGAAUUCUUUCCCAUCUUCUGAAAAUUGAUGUGGUUGUUCCCUGUUUUUGUCAGUGUGUGUCUGAACUGCUGUCUGUCUUUGAAAGUUCCAGAUGAGCAAUCAGAAGUAGCUGAUGUCCCACAUUUCACACGAGGUUUUCCUCAGAAUAACCAGUCACCGAUAAGUGCUUUAGAAACCGGCGCUUGAUGGAAAAGGACGCAGAAGGAGAGUAACAUUCAAACCUCGAAGCGUGUUUUCCUAACCCUUUGUAAGGCCAGAACAUGACUGGGAGACGCGUGAAUGGCUUUCAGUUUUUUAAAGCAUAUCCUGUGAGCAGAAUAUCCUUUUGAUGGUGACACACUGAGCAAAUUCUACCUCGGACUCUACCAAAGCAGGGCUUAAAAAAACAGCUGGAGAGAUGGUGCAGUGGUUAAGAGCAUUUCUCGUUCUUACAGAGGACCCAGGCUCAUUUAAUCCCAGCACAUGAGAGAAGAUUGAAAACGAACAACCUCCCCCAUCAUGUGAGUGCCUCUAUCAGGGGACCAGAAAGACGGAGCAUCCUCAAACCAGAAGAGUAAAAGCCAGAUGCGGUCUGCUGCGGCCAUAUCCUGGAGGCCCUCGAUGUCUUCUGGACGUCUUCCGAGGUACCAUGUCCAGGAAGCUGCGGAAGCCCACACUGCCUCCACUGCCAGGAAACUAGAUGCAGCCAGGUGAUACAUUUGUAUAAACCUCAGAACCCAAGGAGGCUGUGUCAGGAGGAUCCUUUUGAGUUCCAGGCCAGUGUGGAUACAUAACAAGACCCUGCUUCAAAAACAAAAUGUGGGGGAGCCCACAAAGUCCCAUCCCUAGUUCAGGUACAGUUGACACUUGAUACCUGCUGUGGGGAAGGAGUCAGCUUUCUUCAGGAUGUGGGCCCUGAGAUGAUACUACCCAUGUUUCAGUACAUGGUCCUACAUCCAUGCACACACAGGCAGCACCAAGUGUACUCAGUGAGUGUAUGUAUGUAUGUGUGUAUGUAGAUAGAUAGGGAGUAUAUGAAGUUGGGAGGAGAAAGUGGGGGAUGUAGGAGAUGAGGAAUUGGAGAAAAGGGAAUGGGAGCAGAUUUGAUCCUGGUGCCCAGACGUGGAUAACUGAAUCCGCAGAAAGCUUGAGAAAGCUUGGGAAAGAAUAAAGCAUGUUUUGUUGGUAGCAGCAAUUUCUCGGGUCU